CUGAAAGUAUAGGACCACCAAACCAGGCAACAAUAAAAAAAUCCUUUCUUGGCAACUGAGAAAAUGUUGCCAGAAGAUGGUGCAAGAGAGGCAGUGUCAUGGUUUUCGGGGCUGCACUGCCAUCGUGUGGUUAUAAGCGGAGAUACAGAGCGUCCUCCACCUCUUGGACACCUUCGGCCCGUUGAAUCUGCAACAGACACUGGGCAGUGGAAAACACGGGGAAGUCCUCAGGUGGACACUGAAUGUGAGCGAUAUUGUGGACCAGGCACCCAAUUAGUUUGAGGUGGAGUGGGGUGGGGGGCUCUGAGAGGACUUUCUAUACAAACUUAAAAGGUUUUAAUACACUCUGUAAGGGGUCAGAUUCCUGAGAUCUGUCCCUCUGCCUUCCCUGCCCUCAUGUCUUGACUUUCUGGAAACCACAAGACAGUAACGCCUCCAGGUGCAUCUACGUUGUUCCAUGUACCAUGAUUAAUUUCCAUAUCAAAGAGGUACAGUUUAUUCAGUCAAAAAUGGAAGAAUAACUGAAUCAUUGCCAGUUUUAGGUUAUCAGAACUAAAACCGGAGUAGGGGAUAUAGUUCACUUGGUAGAACGCUUGCCUAAAAUCCACAAAGCCUGACCUGGGUUCAGUUCCCAGCUCUGCAUAAAAUAAGAUGUGGUGGUAAGUGUCUGUAACUCCAGAACUUGGGAGACGGAGGCAGAAAGGCUAGAAGUUCAAAGUCAUCCUCAACUAUAUAGUGAGUUUGAGGCUGGCCUGAACCAUAUGAGACCUUAUCUCAAAAAUGAAAAUAAUUAGCUGGAGAGAUGCUCAGUAGUUAAAAGAGGACACUAUUCUUGCAGAGGAUUGAGUGUGGUGGAAUAUUGUUUUAAGGUGUGCGACUUCUGUUUAUGCUGCAUUUGUUUAACUUUGUGAAGCUGUGAUUCUUUGCCUGUCUAAAACACCUGAUGGUCCCAAUAAAGAGCUGAAUGGCAAGGACAGGCGGGGCUGGCAGGCAGAGAGUGUAAAAGAACAGAGAAAGAGGAGGAGCAAUGAGAGAACAAGGAGAGAGGUCAGGAGCCAGCUACUCAGCCACCCAGCCACACAGACAGCCAUAGAGUAAGAAGGAAAGUAAAAUAUACAGUAGUAAGAAAGGUAAGAGCCCAGAGGAAAAAGGUAGAUGGGUUAAUUUAAGAUAAGAAACAAGCUAAGCUAAGGCUGGGCAUUCAUAACUAAGAAUAAGCCUCCGAAUGAUUUAUUUGAUAGCUGGAUGGCAGGCCCCCCAAGAAGCCAGAAAAACCAAAAGAGUAAAACAUCACACAACACCUGAGUUUGAUUUCCAGCACCCACAUCAGGCAGCUCACAGUUGCCUGUAA
rnacentral:lncRNA from 1 species